rnacentral:rRNA from 1 species
UACGAAGGGGGCUAGCGUUGCUCGGAAUCACUGGGCGUAAAGGGCGCGUAGGCGGUCUUUUAAGUCGGGGGUGAAAGCCUGUGGCUCAACCACAGAAUUGCCUUCGAUACUGGGAGACUUGAGUUUGGUAGAGGUUGGUGGAACUGCGAGUGUAGAGGUGAAAUUCGUAGAUAUUCGCAAGAACACCGGUGGCGAAGGCGGCCAACUGGACCAAUACUGACGCUGAGACGCGAAAGCGUGGGGAGCGAACAGG